rnacentral:rRNA from 1 species
CGCGCAGGCGGUUUUAUUAGUCAGAUGUGAAAGCCCACGGCUCAACCGUGGAAGUGCAUUUGAAACUGUAAGACUUGAGUACCAGAGGGGGAAGUGGAAUUCCCGGUGUAGAGGUGAAAUUCGUAGAUAUCGGGAGGAAUACCAGUGGCGAAGGCGACUUUCUGGCUGGAUACUGACGCUGAGGCGCGAAAGCGUGGGGAGCAAACA